ensembl:lncRNA
CUGAGCCAUGAUCACCGUCCACAGUCACUUAUUCAUAGGGUGACCAGAAAGUUUGCCUUCCAAACUGGAAUACAUCUGAAAGUAGAGCACACAUAGAUGGGAGAGGAAGCAAGGUUGAAAGCGGAAUGGAUCAGCCAACUGAUGAAGGGAGGCACAAAGUAAUCUGUAAGUACAUGUAAGAGGGGAAAAAAUGAAUAAACAUUCAGCAGCCAGGAUCUGCAGCACUGCCUGCCACAGAGCAUCUUAGGCAUCUCUGCAAGAAGGACGCUUCCCUCGAAAGCUUGGGAAUGGGGUAUGGAGCAGGAAAACGCAUCUGAGUCAGGGCAGUGGAAGGAUGUAUCUGCCUCCACCAUCAGACUUUUGCUUCAGGGCUUAUGGAAGAUGUGAUUGAUGACAUCCAAAUUUACACUUGAGAUCUUCUGCUGAAGAUCUUCUGCUCCAAGGAUCAAACCUAACUAGUCAGCCAACUGUUGUCAACGUUUGAU